rnacentral:rRNA from 1 species
UCAGCGGCUGACGGGUGAGUAACGCGUGGGAACGUGCCUUCUGGUUCGGAAUACCUCAGGGAAACUUGAGCUAAUACCGGAUACGCCCUUUUUGGGGAAAGGUUUACUGCCGGAAGAUCGGCCCGCGUCUGAUUAGCUAGUUGGUGGGGUAACGGCCUACCAAGGCGACGAUCAGUAGCUGGUCUGAGAGGAUGAUCAGCCACACUGGGACUGAGACACGGCCCAGACUCCUACGGGAGGCAGCAGUGGGGAAUAUUGGACAAUGGGCGCAAGCCUGAUCCAGCCAUGCCGCGUGAGUGAUGAAGGCCUUAGGGUUGUAAAGCUCUUUUAUCCGGGACGAUAAUGACGGUACCGGAGGAAUAAGCCCCGGCUAACUUCGUGCCAGCAGCCGCGGUAAU